GACGAACGCUGGCGGCGUGCCUAAUACAUGCAAGUAGAACGCUGAAGGAGGAGCUUGCUUCUCUGGAUGAGUUGCGAAAGGGUGAGUAACGCGUAGGUAACCUGCCUGGUAGCGGGGGAUAACUAUUGGAAACGAUAGCUAAUACCGCAUAAUAGUAGAUGUUGCAUGACAUUUGCUUAAAAGGUGCAAUUUCCUCACUACCAGAUGGACCUGCGUUGUAUUAGCUAGUUGGUGGGGUAACGGCUCACCAAGGCGACGAUACAUAGCCGACCUGAGAGGGUGAUCGGCCACACUGGGACUGAGACACGGCCCAGACUCCUACGGGAGGCAGCAGUAGGGAAUCUUCGGCAAUGGACGGAAGUCUGACCGAGCAACGCCGCGUGAGUGAAGAAGGUUUUCGGAUCGUAAAGCUCUGUUGUAAGAGAAGAACGAGUGUGAGAGUGGAAAGUUCACACUGUGACGGUAUCUUACCAGAAAGGGACGGCUAACUACGUG
rnacentral:rRNA from 1 species